UACAGAGGGGGCAAGCGUUGUUCGGAAUUACUGGGCGUAAAGGGCGCGUAGGCGGCCUUCUAAGUCGAACGUGAAAUCCCCGGGCUCAACCCGGGAACUGCGUCCGAUACUGGAAGGCUUGAAUCCGGGAGAGGGAUGUGGAAUUCCAGGUGUAGCGGUGAAAUGCGUAGAUAUCUGGAGGAACACCGGUGGCGAAGGCGGCAUCCUGGACCGGUAUUGGCGCUGAGGCGCGAAAGCUAGGGGAGCAAACGGG
rnacentral:rRNA from 1 species